GCCUGCCCUGCACUUUCUGAGCUGGCAGUCGCCAGUUUGAACGUGUGAGGCUGGGGAAAGAGGAGACACCAGUGGUCUAGACACCAGCAGAUUGCAGCCAGAUGACACCGGAGACAAGCCCAGAGCCAGGGCCUGGCCCUUCACCCAGCAUGCAUUUGUCUUAAUCCGACCCCCCACAAGCUCUCUGGGAACACUGAUGCAUCCCCACCAGAAGAAGUCUCUGUUUCUCUCGCUCGAUCCUGCGUGGGCCUCUGUGCAUGUCUCAGCUAAACGAGCUGGCAGAGUGGGGCUCCAUGGCUUCUGAGGCUGGGUCACACAGAGCAGUAUACCUGCCACCUGGUUCUCUCUUUGGAUGCUUGUUUUUGGAACCCCACAUGGAAGCCCAGGCCUUGUGCAGAGGCUCACGUGGAAAGGAGACUAAUAGAGAUCCGGAAGAAUAAUUCUGGGUGUCAGUUCACUGUGCUUGCUGGCCUGGAACUCAGAAGGCAGUCAGGAUGAAGUACAGCUGCCUCCACCCCUUCCCAGCUCCACUAAUAAUGUUAACAAUAUUCUUUGCUUAUGUCUAAAAAAAUAAAAAGAGGAAUAGAUCCACAAUGAAAACUUUUGCUAAUAUCAGUAAUAUUAAUAAAAA